GAUCAUGGCUCAGAUUGAACGCUGGCGGCAUGCUUUACACAUGCAAGUCGAACGGUAACAGGUUAAGCUGACGAGUGGCGAACGGGUGAGUAAUGCAUCGGAACGUGCCCGGUCGUGGGGGAUAACGCAGCGAAAGCUGCGCUAAUACCGCAUACGAUCUGAGGAUGAAAGCGGGGGACCGUAAGGCCUCGCGCGAUCGGAGCGGCCGAUGUCAGAUUAGGUAGUUGGUGGGGUAAAGGCUCACCAAGCCGACGAUCUGUAGCUGGUCUGAGAGGACGACCAGCCACACUGGGACUGAGACACGGCCCAGACUCCUACGGGAGGCAGCAGUGGGGAAUUUUGGACAAUGGGCGCAAGCCUGAUCCAGCAAUGCCGCGUGCAGGAAGAAGGCCUUCGGGUUGUAAACUGCUUUUGUACGGAGCGAAAAGGCCCUCUCUAAUACAGGGGGUUCAUGACGGUACCGUAAGAAUAAGCACCGGCUAACUACGUG
rnacentral:rRNA from 1 species